GCCGCCGUAGCUCAGUGGUAGAGCACGUCCUUGGUAAGGACGGGGUCGAUAGUUCAAUUCUAUUCGGCGGCACCA
rnacentral:tRNA from 1 species